rnacentral:rRNA from 1 species
GAUGAACGCUGGCGGCGUGCUUAACACAUGCAAGUCGAACGGAAAGGCCCGGCUCUUGCUGGGUGCUCGUGUGGCGAACGGGUGUGUAACACGUGAGUAUCCCCCCCUUGACUUUGGGAUAACUCCAGGAAACAGGGGCUAAUACCGGAUAGGAGCUCCUGAAGCAUGGGGGGGGUUGGAAAGUUUCGGCGGUUGGGGAUCGACUCGGGGGUUAUGAGCUUGUUGGUGGGGUAGUGGCUUACAAGGGCUUUGACGGGUAGGCGGCCUUAGAGGGGGACCGGGGACAAGGGGACUAAGAUACGGCCCAGACUCGUACGGGAGGCAGCAGUGGGAAAUAUUGCACAAUGGGCGGGAGCCUGAUGCGGCAACGCCGCGUGCGGGAUGACGGCCUUCGGGUUGUAAACCGCUUUCGCCUGUGACGAAGCGUGAGUGACGGUAAUGGGUAAAGAAGCACCGGCUAACUACGUG